rnacentral:rRNA from 1 species
CUUCUCCUACGGCAGGCAGCAGUGGGGAAUAUUGGGCAAUGGGGGAAACCCUGACCCAGCAACGCCGCGUGAGGGAAGAAGGCUUUCGGGUUGUAAACCUCUGUCCUUGGGGACGAAGUAAGUGACGGUACCCAAGGAGGAAGCUCCGGCUAACUACGUGCCAGCAGCCGCGGUAAUACGUAGGGAGCAAGCGUUGUUCGGAAUUACUGGGCGUAAAGGGUGCGUAGGCGGCCUGGUAAGUCAGAUGUGAAAUACCCGUGCUUAACAUGGGGGGUGCAUCUGAUACUGUCAGGCUUGAGUGCAGG